rnacentral:rRNA from 1 species
UUAAGUGAAUAAGGGCGCACGGUGGAUGCCUUGGCACUAGGAGCCGAUGAAGGACGGGACUAACACCGAUAUGCUUUGGGGAGCUGUAAGUAAGCUAUGAUCCAGAGAUUUCCGAAUGGGGGAACCCAAUAUCUUUUAUAGGAUAUUACUUUUCAGUGAAUACAUAGCUGAUUAGAGGUAGACGCAGAGAACUGAAACAUCUUAGUACCUGCAGGAAGAGAAAGAAAAUUCGAUUCCCUGAGUAGCGGCGAGCGAAACGGGAAGAGCCCAAACCAACAAGCUUGCUUGUUGGGGUUGUAGGACUCCGAUAUGGUAGUCUGUUAGUAUAGUUGAAGGAUUUGGAAAAUUCCGCUAAAGAGGGUGAAAGCCCCGUAGACGAAAUGCUGACAACACCUAGGAGGAUCCUGAGUACGGCGGAACACGAGAAAUUCCGUCGGAAUCCGCGGGGACCAUCCCGCAAGGCUAAAUACUCCCUAGUGACCGAUAGUGAACCAGUACCGUGAGGGAAAGGUGAAAAGCACCCCGGAAGGGGAGUGAAAUAGAUCCUGAAACCGUGUGCCUACAACAAGUCAAAGCUCGUUAAUGAGUGAUGGCGUGCCUUUUGUAGAAUGAACCGGCGAGUUACGAUUGCAUGCGAGGUUAAGUCGAAGAGACGGAGCCGCAGCGAAAGCGAGUCUGAAUAGGGCGAAUGAGUAUGUAGUCGUAGACCCGAAACCAUGUGAUCUACCCAUGUCCAGGUUGAAGGUGCGGUAAAACGCACUGGAGGACCGAACCCACGUACGUUGAAAAGUGCGGGGAUGAGGUGUGGGUAGCGGAGAAAUUCCAAACGAACUUGGAGAUAGCUGGUUCUCUCCGAAAUAGCUUUAGGGCUAGCCUCGGAAUUGAGAAUGAUGGAGGUAGAGCACUGUUUGGACUAGGGGCCCAUCUCGGGUUACCGAAUUCAGAUAAACUCCGAAUGCCAUUCAUUUAUAUCCGGGAGUCAGACUGCGAGUGAUAAGAUCCGUAGUCGAAAGGGAAACAGCCCAGACCACCAGCUAAGGUCCCAAAAUAUAUGUUAAGUGGAAAAGGAUGUGGGGUUGCACAGACAACUAGGAUGUUGGCUUAGAAGCAGCCACCAUUUAAAGAGUGCGUAAUAGCUCACUAGUCGAGUGACCCUGCGCCGAAAAUGUACCGGGGCUAAACAUAUUACCGAAGCUGUGGACUACACCAUUAGGUGUAGUGGUAGGAGAGCGUUCUAAGGGCGUUGAAGGUCGAUCGUGAGGACGGCUGGAGCGCUUAGAAGUGAGAAUGCCGGUAUGAGUAGCGAAAGACAGGUGAGAAUCCUGUCCACCGUAUGACUAAGGUUUCCUGGGGAAGGCUCGUCCGCCCAGGGUUAGUCGGGACCUAAGCCGAGGCCGAUAGGCGUAGGCGAUGGACAACAGGUUGAUAUUCCUGUACCAGUUGUUUUUGUUUGAGCAAUGGAGGGACGCAGUAGGCUAAGGAAUGCAUGCGAUUGGAAGUGCAUGUCCAAGCAAUGAGUCUUGAGUAGAGUUAAAUGCUUUACUCUCUAAGGACAAGUUGUGACGGGGAGCGAAAUAAUAGUAGCGAAGUUCCUGAUGUCACACUGCCAAGAAAAGCUUCUAGUGAGAAAACAACUGCCCGUACCGUAAACCGACACAGGUAGUCGAGGAGAGUAUCCUAAGGUGAGCGAGCGAACUCUCGUUAAGGAACUCGGCAAAAUGACCCCGUAACUUCGGGAGAAGGGGUGCUGACUUCGGUCAGCCGCAGUGAAUAGGCCCAAGCGACUGUUUAUCAAAAACACAGGUCUCUGCAAAAUCGUAAGAUGAAGUAUAGGGGUUGACGCCUGCCCGGUGCUGGAAGGUUAAGAGGAUGGGUUAGCUUCGGCGAAGCUCAGAAUUGAAGCCCCAGUAAACGGCGGCCGUAACUAUAACGGUCCUAAGGUAGCGAAAUUCCUUGUCGGGUAAGUUCCGACCCGCACGAAAGGCGUAACGAUUUGGGCACUGUCUCAACGAGAGACUCGGUGAAAUUUUAGUACCUGUGAAGAUGCAGGUUACCCGCGACA